CCUACGGGAGGCAGCAGUGAGGAAUUUUCGUCAAUGGGCGCAAGCCUGAACGAGCAACGCCGCGUGCAGGAAGAAGGUCUUCGGAUCGUAAACUGCUUUUCUGAGGGACGAGCAAGGACGGUACCUCAGGAAUCAGCCCCGGCUAACUACGUGCCAGCAGCCGCGGUAAU
rnacentral:rRNA from 1 species